rnacentral:lncRNA from 1 species
UCACCUGUCUGGUUGGUGUCCAAGCUGCUAAGCUUAUCAAAGCUGCACAACCGCACCACCUCCUCAGGUAUCCCGUCUUCUUCUUCCUUGAUACUGAAGGGGACACCGAGGAAUGUUGCAAGUCUAAUGACAUACUUUAUUGGUUCUAACAUCAUAUCUUCAUACUUGAGAAAAAGAAUCCUGUUAGGGCAUGCGACGCUCUCCCUCCAGUACUCGAGGCAAUGCUCCCAAAAAGGUCCGUAGUUUGAGAAACCUUCGGAAAACAUGUUGACAGCAGCCUCAAAGUCAACACUACGUUCCCUAAUGACCUUACUCUUGAAGUGCCACCAGGACACAAGAGCGUCCUUUGGAUCUCGACAAACGUACACAGUACGACAACCACAACUAGCUAAGGAAUCUGGGAACAACGAGAGGGGCAUAUGGGUAGCAAGAAGCCUUGGAGAUGGGAGUGUCUCUACAUAGGUCAUGUCACCAUCUCGAGGGAUCUCGAGGAAUGGCACCACCUCCUGGGGAUGACGGAAGAGAAGAGGGUGAUUGCCAAACUCAUACCGGGAGCGAUUGGUGAUUGUGAAGGCGAGGGCCUUGAUCCACGUGGUGCCACACUUGGGGUUCGUUGCGAGAACGAUGUCGUCGUGGCGAGCUUCGAAGGUGUUCUGGAGGCGCAUGAUGGUUGCAGCGAAACGUGGACGGAGCCAGUAGUUCUUGUAGAGCACCAAUGGCUCCGACCACCCCUCCCUCGUUGGAAGUUUGGAUAGAGGAUCAUCAGUGCCGUGGCUAUUUGUGGCGCUUCCCUCCAUGACUUGUGCCAUAGCUCAGCUGCUUUGGAGUUCUUGCGCGCUCUACAUCUGGGAGACUGGGACGAUGGAUUGGAUGGCUACUUGUAUAAGUCAUGCUUCGUUUUUUGGGUACAGAUUCGGUCAAUCUCGUGAUUAGCGAGUAUGUUUUUUAUUCCUAAUAAAGAAAAGGGACAGAUAAGAUCAUAUGGUGGGGAUCGACAUAGCUGAAGUUCUUUAAUUUGGAUCUCCAGCAGGGAUAUGGCCCCUGCUGCGGCGGACGGAGCUCCGAUCCUCCCUAGAACAAUGCAGAAACAUGCAUACUUCGACGGCGAGAACAUCCGCCGGAGACGAGGAUGCCAGCUACCACGCGACGGAGGAUGCCGACGGCGAUGAGAGCGCCUACAAGCAGCAGAUGUCUCGUGACAUGAUUCCUCUGUCCUUUUGCCAUAAAAAAAGGCAGCCCUCGAUGGACGAUGUCACCGGACGGCGUCACCGGCGCCCCAUGUGCGUGGUCUCCUCCUCCAUGCACGAUGUCCGCAUGGUCGGCUACGAGCACACGCAGGUUCGCAGGCAGAUCGAUCAGGUCGAUGCGCCGACGCAGCUCAUCAGCUCCUCCACGUACGUACGGUCGCCGCCGGCUUUGUUCUUCCAUCCUCUCUUAAACUUCCUUCCUAUCCUGACAUGGGACAAAACGAAACACAUGAAGCAAAAAUGUUGCUCAAGCCUUACUGGUUGUGUUUCUCUAAAGCUCAAGGACAAAUAGGAUCGUAUCAUAUCACCUACCUUGCCUCUCCUGAAGGAGGCUGAUUUCUCGUAGACCACAUUGGGUCAUGGAUGGGGUUCUCAAUCACUACCGGAAACCGGGUGUUUGCCGAGUGCAAGGAUCUUUGCCGAGUGCAUUCUAUCGGGCACUUGGCAAAAAAGCUCUUUGCCGAGUGCUGCCAAAAAACACUCGGCAAAAGAGCUAAAAAAAAACACUGGGCAAAGCCUGGCACUCGGCAACCUAGAAAAAAACAAUCGGCAAAGAUAGGCACUCGGCAAAGAAAUAUGUUUGUUGAGUCUAAUUAUUUAGCACCUGGCAAAUAAUUUCACUUUUUUUUCUAUUCUGACCUUGAAACUUUUUCUACUCUCCACAUAAAACAUGUGGUAUUCCAUGUUAAAAUUUGGUAUAUUUCUGGAUCCGUUUGCUAUAUUUAAUUAGUUUAUUGCAUUUCUAGGAAUUUUUUGGUAUAAGUCAAAUUUGAACUGCAAGUGAUUCAAAUAAUAGAAUAAAAUGAGUAGAAAAAUUGAUAUUUAUGUUAUUGUGUCCAGUGUGAGGCCUUACCUAGGAAAUGAAAAGAAAUUUCAAACAUCUUGUUCAGAAAACACGACCACGAACGUUUGGCCGAAUGGUUUUUAAAUUCUAAAAAAAGCAAACAAAGUCAGAAAAUCAUGAGAUUUUUCAUGUGUGAUGAUAUCAUACAUGGAGGCUGUGGUAAAAAAUUGAGAAGGUUUCGCACAAUUUGUCACGAACGAUAUUUACAAACCGAAGCAUCUCAGAAAAAGAAUCGUAGCGUUGAGAAGGAUUCAGUAAGAUUUGGAGUCAAAGUGACGGUCGAAUUGGGGUUUGACUUCAAAAUCUUUUGUAUAGGCAAUAGAGAACAUAGGUUAUUUCAUGUGAAAUUUUGGUAUUUUUUUGAUUCGUUUGAUAAUUUUAAUUUAUUAAGUGUAAUUAUAAAAUUUUAAUUGAUAUAAAUUAAAUUUGAGCUAUAACCGCAUAAAAUAAUGGAGUAAUAUUCGUAGAAAAAUCAUAUAUGUAUGUAUAUAUAUAUAUAUAUAGAUAUAUAUAUAUUGUCGAGUCAAUUUGAUAAGGUAUUUUCAAAGGAUAUCAGGAAACACGGUAUGGAAAAGAAGAAAAUGGGAACCUAGUGCAGACACUCGGUAAAGAUAACUUUACUCAGUGCCGUGAUCUGACACUCAGUAAAGUAGCUUUGUUGAGUGUCCUAAAUUCGACACUCGCCGCCUUAUAAAACUCACCCGGCCACCGCCCCCUUCCUCCCCCCUCCCCUCCCUUUCCCGGCGCCACCCCCCUCUCCUACCGACGCCGCCCCCUCCCCUCCCUCCGUCUCCCGCCGGCGACCCCUCCCUCUCCCGCUAGCACCACUCCCUCUCGCGAUGCUGCCCCCUCCCCUCCCUCCAUCUCCCGCCAGCGCCCCCUCCCUCUCCCGCCGGCACCACCCCCUCCCCUCCCUCCCUCUCCCCCCAUCUCCCUCUUUUUUUUUCACAGGCGGUGGCGGCGGCGUUGUGGUGGCGGAGACGGCGUCAUGGUGGUCGUGGCGGCGUGUUUUUAUAUUUUUCAAAAUAUUUUUUACCGAGUGCUCGAGAAAAAACACUCGGCAAAGACAGCUAUGCCGAGUCUUUGUUUGCUGAGUGCCGUUUGCUGAGUGGAAUACUUGGCAAAGGGUUUUCCGAAUGUUUUUUUUUUGCCUUCGCCGUGUGCCGUGGGUACACGGCAAACCUGGGCAUUCCGACAGUGAAUGUUGGCCAUGCAUGCAUCGUCCUAGCUAGGCUUAAUGACACCUACCCAUCGAGAUAAAUGGUGUCAAAUUUAUUUUCUGCUGAUUGGACUCUAAACAGAAAAGAUUAACACCUCUAAUUUUGAUGACCCAGGUAUAUAAUAAGGAUUAAUUUGCGAGCACGAUUGAGCUAAUCUGUACUCCCUCAGUCCCAAAAUAAGUGUUCAUUUAGAAAAUUUUGGACACAUUAGUAAUUGUGAGAAGUGAUCAUGCUAUUCCUAAUUACUCAUAUUAGUUGUGGUUGAAAGCUGUCCAAUCUGUUUGAUUUUCUGGAUCCUGAAUACACGCACAUGCACGUGCAUUGGAACUAGAGAAAAAACAUCAAUUGAUCAUUUCAUUGGAUCUAUGCACUUCUCAACAUACUUAUUUUUAUUGGUGCGAGUAUUACUUUAAUUAGAUGAGCCUCACUUGAAGGUAAAUGAACUUUCUUUGUGAUAAAUUUGAAAGAAAAACGAAUCCUUAUUUUGGGAUAGAUUGGGACAGGGAGUAAGCCGAUACUUAAAAAAAGGAAGAUGGUUGGUGGCAUGUCACGUUCCUCUGUCCUUUUACCAUCAAACAAAGCAUUAUAUUAUUACAUGGAUCGAUGAACUCUCGCACCGGCAGCAGCGGCUCCUCGUCGGCUUGCAGUUUCCCCUCUAUAUUUCCGUAGACACAACGACGACGACGAAAACGCAGCAGCAGCCAGCGAGGAGGAAUCCCAUGGGCCAUGGCCCCCAGGACCAGCAGGACCACAGCCACCACGCGAACGCCCAGGCCGGCCGCCCGAUGAGCGCGGUAGAAGAGCAUCGAGAGGACGCAGAAGGCGAUGAGCGCGCCAACCAUGCACAGCUGCGGCGCGCAUCGACGGUCGGGAUCCGGCCUCGCAUCAACGACGCCGCCGCCGCCGCCGGGGUUCUCGAUGUCCGCCAUAGCAGCUAGCCUUUGGUGUUCGUUACUAGCUAGGGGGGAAAAGCAAGCGAGCUCAAUGCAAUCAACGUAGAGAGUAUCAACCCACGAAAAGGGCCCCACAAGCGAACGCACCGCCUCCCGCCGGCCCGUGGGCGCUCGGUCCCCACGCGCGCCGGCGGCGCCAACCUCUCCCGCUGAUGCUCCGGUCCCCCGCGCGCGCCGGCUCUACCGCCGCCUCCCGCGGGCACGCCGGCCUCACUGCCUCCGCGUUGCACACGCCGUGGUCUGAGAAGCUGACUGAGGUUGAAGAAGAAGAAAAAUCCGAAAAUGUCGGCUCUUCUUUGAAAAAAAUGUUGAAUCCGGUUUUCCAAAAUGUUGAAGUAGGCACAUAAAAAUAUUGAAUGUAGUUUUUUUCCUUAUGAAAUGUUGAUCUAGAAUGAAAAUGCUGAAUCUGUUCAUUUUAGAUGUUGAUUAAACUGUUGAAAAAUGUUGAAACUAGUUUGUUAAAAUGUUGACUUAAACUUCGCUUCCACUAGCUACAUAGGAGGCCCUGCGGCACUACUAGCAGAAAUUUCGCUCAAUAAAAAAGAAAGCAGCAAGUAGAAAUUCCAUUAAAGAAUCAUGACUUGCGCAAUGGAUGACUUUGUUUAUUAAUUCAAACAAUCGAGACAUGAAGAACCAGGAAGGCCAAAUCCCUUCAGUUUCUUCCAUUUCUUCACUCAUGUGAUUCAACCGGGUCCAGUUUCUCCUUUCUUCAGUGAUUGUCGGCAAUCAUGACGUGUUUAAGAGAGAGAAAAAGCAGAACAUGCAAAUAUGACAUGUUUAUUCUUGCAAACAUACAAAUAUGAUGUCAAAUAUAAAGCAUACAAAGAAAAUAAAAGCAAAAGGAGAUGCACAUUAGAGCACAAGGCCAGUUCCCUUCAAUUUCUCUUCCACAAUGCAAUCUAGCUUUCUCCCCAUCUCUUGGCUCAUGUGAUUCACCCAAUCCCCCACCUUCCCUUUCCUGAAGAACACUGACUUCUCAAUAAUUAGGUUGCCAGGCCGGACCAGUUCACCUGUCUUGUUGGUGUCCAAGCUGCUAAGCUUAUCAAAGCUGCACAACCUCACCACCUCCUCAGGUAUCCCAUCUUCUUCUUCCUUGAUACUGAAGGGGACACGGAGGAAUGUUGCAAGUCUGAUGACAUGCUUCACUGGUUCUGACAUCAUAUCUUCGUACUUGAGAAAAAGAAUCCUGUUAGGGCAUGCGAUGCUCUCCCUCC